CCUACGGGUGGCAGCAGUGAGGAAUAUUGGUCAAUGGACGAGAGUCUGAACCAGCCAAGUAGCGUGAAGGAUGACUACCCUAUGGGUUGUAAACUUCUUUUAUAUGGGAAUAAAAUGUUCCACGUGUGGGAUUUUGUAUGUACCAUAUGAAUAAGGAUCGGCUAACUCCGUGCCAGCAGCCGCGGUAAUACGGAGGAUCCGAGCGUUAUCCGGAUUUAUUGGGUUUAAAGGGAGCGUAGGUGGAUUUUUAAGUCAGUUGUGAAAGUUUGCGGCUCAACCGUAAAAUUGCAGUUGAAACUGGCAGUCUUGAGUACAGUAGAGGUGGGCGGAAUACGUGGUGUAGCGGUGAAAUGCUUAGAUAUCACGAAGAACUCCGAUUGCGAAGGCAGUUCACUGGACUGCAACUGACACUGAGGCUCGAAAGUGUGGGUAUCAAACAGGAUUAGAUACCCUUGUAGUC
rnacentral:rRNA from 1 species